CCUACGGGAGGCAGCAGUGGGGAAUAUUGCACAAUGGGGGAAACCCUGAUGCAGCGACGCCGCGUGAGUGAAGAAGUAAUUCGUUAUGUAAAGCUCUAUCAGCAGGGAAGAAAAUGACGGUACCUGAGUAAGAAGCACCGGCUAACUACGUGCCAGCAGCCGCGGUAAUACGUAGGGGGCAAGCGUUAUCCGGAUUUACUGGGUGUAAAGGGAGCGUAGACGGCAGAGCAAGUCUGGAGUGAAAGGCUGUGGCUCAACCCUCGGACUGCUAUGGAAACUGUACGGCUGGAGUGCGGGAGAGGUAGGUGGAAUUCUUGGUGUAGCGGUGAAAUGCGUAGAUAUUAGGAGGAACACUAGUGGCGAAGGCGGCUUACUGGACUGUAACUGACGUUGAGGCUCGAAAGCGUGGGGAGCAAACAGGAUUAGAUACCCUUGUAGUC
rnacentral:rRNA from 1 species